CUUUUCAAGGCUGAAUGAGAUUCCAUUGUGUGUAUAUACCACAUAUUGCUUAUUCACUCAUCUGUUGACGGAACCUUGGGUUGCUUAAACAUUUUAGCUAUUGUGAACAGUGCUGCUAUGAACACAGAUGAAUGAAAAUCCCUUCAAGACCCUACUUUUGGUUCUUUUGGGUACAAACCCAGAAGUGGAACUGCUGGACCAUAUGCACCAGCUGUGAC